CCACCUCCCCUGCAAACGUCCAGUGACGCAGACGUAAUGGACGUUGGCUCUGGUGGUGCUG
ensembl:miRNA mdo-mir-1306 mdo-mir-1306